GACGAACGCUGGCGGCGUGCUUAACACAUGCAAGUCGAACGGAAAGGCCCGGCUUUUGCGGGGUGCUCGAGUGGCGAACGGGUGAGUAACACGUGAGUAACCUGCCCUUGACUUUGGGAUAACUUCAGGAAACUGGGGCUAUUACCGGAUAGGAGCUCCUGCUGCACGGUGGGGGUUGGAAAGUGUCGGCGGUUGGGGAUGGGCUCGCGGCUUACCGGCCUGUUGGUGGGGUAGUGGCUUACCAAGGCUUUGACGGGUAGCCGGCCUGGGAGGGUGACCGGCCACAUUGGGACUGAGAUACGGCCCAGACUGCUACGGGAGGCAGGGGUGGGGAAUGUUGCACAAUGGGCGGGAGCCUGAUGCAGCAGCGCCGCGUGCGGGAUGACGGCCUUCGGGUUGUAAACCGCUUUCGCCUGUGACGAAGCGUGAGUGACGGUAAUGGGUAAAGAAGCACCGGCUAACUACGUG
rnacentral:rRNA from 1 species